rnacentral:rRNA from 1 species
GUGAGUAGUUCAGAGUUUGAUCCUGGCUCAGGAUGAACGCUGGCGGCAUGCCUAACACAUGCAAGUCGAACGGAGAUUAAGAAGCUUGCUUUUUAAUCUUAGUGGCGGACGGGUGAGUAACGCGUGAGUAACCUGCCUCUCAGAGGGGGAUAACGUUCUGAAAAGAACGCUAAUACCGCAUAUUAUCACAGAAUCGCAUGGUUUUGUGAUGAAAGGAGCAAUCCGCUGAGAGAUGGACUCGCGUCUGAUUAGCUAGUUGGUGAGGUAACGGCUCACCAAGGCGACGAUCAGUAGCCGGACUGAGAGGUUGAACGGCCACAUUGGGACUGAGACACGGCCCAG